rnacentral:rRNA from 1 species
UACGAAGGGGGCUAGCGUUGCUCGGAUUGACUGGGCGUAAAGGGCGCGUAGGCGGUUCGUACAGUCAGACGUGAAAUUCCUGGGCUCAACCUGGGGGCUGCGUUUGAUACGUGCGGACUUGAGUGCGGAAGAGGGUCGUGGAAUUCCCAGUGUAGAGGUGAAAUUCGUAGACAUUGGGAAGAACACCGGUGGCGAAGGCGGCGACCUGGUCCGAUACUGACGCUGAGGCGCGAAAGCGUGGGGAGCAAACAGG